rnacentral:lncRNA from 1 species
AUUGUGAAUGUCUGGUCAUUAGAUAUUUGCAUCACAAAAAGUCUGGAAGCUAUAGUUAACCUGGAAAAGCAUAGCUCUGAACUGGAAACAGAGAGAACCUACAGCAAAAUGUAAAUGUGAACUCAUCUUAGUGAAGAGGUGAAGCACUGUUUUGUAAAGAAAAGCACGCAGCAGCCCCUGGAGCCAUGGCCCUGUUGAUUAAGGCACUAGCUGAACUUUCUUUGUAGCAAGGUCUGUAGGUGCUUUUAAUUUAAAUAUAAUAAAAGGAAAUUAGGCAGUUAUCAAGACUAUUUCUGUUUUCCAGCAACGAAAAGAAGAAGCAAGCCUUGUUAUUUGAGCGUUUUCUUCUCACUCCACGUGGAGAUAUUUAAUAAGUCUUGUGGCUGAUUUUUCUUUUAUGAAGUGGUCCUUAUUUUCCAGAUUUUACACUCAAAGAGAUAUACUUUGUUCAGUUCUUCUAGACCAAUGCUAGACUGCUUCCUAGCCAUAGAUAGGGAUUCUUUGAAAUUGUUUUCAAAGCCCAGUGCUGACUGAAACUAUUUUAGGUCUUGUCUUUGCUACCUUGGCCCUAUCUGAAAGGAAGAAGUUUGCCCUUGAAAGAGAGCUAAACUGCUGUGAUUCACCGACUUGGAAGAAUUGCAGGAUGCUGACUGCCUGAAGUGGUGCCUCCCACUGGACCAGUGCAAGUUUCCUUCCUUCUUGUCUGACCAAGCCAUUAAGAAGUUAGUCAGUUCCCUGAAGGUUACUUCCAAGGAAUCUCCAAAAAGGAAAUAUCCAGCCCUGGAAAGGACACAGAAAGUGCUGCGGAGGCCACCAACAGAUGACAGGAGUGUGAGAACCUAUGCUCUAGAAGAGGAUUAUGUUCCUUUUGCUUUUAAUAAUGGUGAGUUAAAUUCUUGCUGUGUCUUCUGUGAUUUUUCUCUGAUUUUAUG